CGUAGGGUGCGAGCGUUAAUCGGAAUUACUGGGCGUAAAGCGUGCGCAGGCGGUUUUGUAAGCCAGAUGUGAAAUCCCCGGGCUUAACUGGGAAUGGCAUUUGGGACUGCAAGGCUUGAGUGCGGCAGAGGAGACUGGGAAUUCCUGGUGUAGCAGUGAAAUGCGUAGAUAUCAGGAGGAAUACCGAUGGCGAAGGCAGGUCUCUGGGCUGACACUGACGCUCAUGCACGAAAGCGUGGGGGAGCAAACAGGAUUAGAUACCCUGGUAGUCCACGCCCUAAACGAUGUCGACUGGUUGUUGGGGGUUUGACACUCUCAGUAACGAAGCUAACGCGUGAAGUCGACCGCCUGGGGAGUACGGCCGCAAGGUUA
rnacentral:rRNA from 1 species